UACGUAGGGGGCAAGCGUUGUCCGGAUUUAUUGGGCGUAAAGAGCGUGUAGGCGGCUUUACAGGUCCGUUGUGAAAACUCGAGGCUCAACCUCGAGCUGUCGGCGGAAACCAUCUGGCUAGAGUCCGGAAGAGGAGAGUGGAAUUCCUGGUGUAGCGGUGAAAUGCGCAGAUAUCAGGAAGAACACCUAUGGCGAAGGCAGCUCUCUGGGACGGUACUGACGCUGAGACGCGAAAGCGUGGGGAGCGAACAGG
rnacentral:rRNA from 1 species